rnacentral:rRNA from 1 species
AUUGAACGCUGGCGGCAGGCCUAACACAUGCAAGUCGAACGAGUGGCGUACGGGUGAGUAAUGUCUGGGAAACUGCCUGAUGGAGGGGGAUAACUACUGGAAACGGUAGCUAAUACCGCAUACCAUCGGAUGUGCCCAGAUGGGAUUAGCUAGUAGGUGGGGUAAAGGCUCACCUAGGCGACGAUCCCUCGCUGGUCUGAGAGGAUGACCAGCAACACGGGACCGGAGACACGGCCCAGACUCCUACGGGAGGCAGCAGUGGGGAAUAUUGCACAAUGGGCGAAAGCCUGAUGCAGACAUGCCGGUGGUAUGAAGAAGGCCUUCGGUUUGUAAAGUACUUUGAGCGGGGAGGCGUUACCCGAAGAAGAAGCACCGGCUAACUCCGUGCCAGCAGCCGCGGUAAUAC